rnacentral:rRNA from 1 species
UCAGGCCUAACACAUGCAAGUCGAGGGGUAGAAGGAGCUUGCUCCUUUGAGACCGGCGCACGGGUGCGUAACGCGUAUGCAAUCUACCUCUUACAGAGGGAUAGCCCAGAGAAAUUUGGAUUAAUACCUCAUAGUAUAUAAUCUUCGCAUGUUGGUUAUAUUAAAGUUCCAACGGUAAAAGGUGAGCAUGCGUCCUAUUAGCUAGUUGGUGUGGUAACGGCACACCAAGGCAACGAUAGGUAGGGGUCCUGAGAGGGAGAUCCCCCACACUGGUACUGAGACACGGACCAGACUCCUACGGGAGGCAGCAGUGAGGAAUAUUGGACAAUGGGCGCAAGCCUGAUAAGGCCAUGCCGCGUGCAGGAAGACGGUCCUAUGGAUUAAAGGUGCUUUUGUACGGGAAGAAACACUCCUACGGUAGGAGCUUGGCG